CUCCGGAGCCGACCUCGGAGCCCGCCUGGAACACACCCAGACACCGGAAUCCGGGAGCACGGGAGUUCUGAGCACCUGCAGUAGCUGGGCCGGGGGAGGACACUGCGGAGGUGGGGGAGACGGGCCUCCGCCCUUCUGUUACUCAGCCUAAUUGUGUGCCCAAGACCCACCGCACAUGGAACCACAGCCCUCAUGCAAGACAGCAUGCAAUUAGCUGGGAGAAGAAUCCAAGGAUCGGAGAGUACAGUGCCUAACAAGCAAUGGAGUACUCUUCCCAAGGGAUUCUGGCAGGAAGCGACUUUGAUAGACUCUUAGAAGAGGUGUCUUAGAGGAACACAGAUGCACAAAGAGGCAUGACCAAGGAUGUUCGCUGCUGCAACGCGUAUGUAGUAAAAUACUAUAAACAACACAAAUGCCCGCCACUCAGAGAACGGUUGAGUAAAAUCGUGGCAAUCCAUAUGCUGGGAUAGAACAGUGAUUACGUGGCGAGAUUGUUGAGACUUAUUGUAAGUGAAAAACCAAGCUGUAAAACAAAACUACAAUGUGGUUCCAUUUAUGUAAAAAAG